rnacentral:rRNA from 1 species
CCUACGGGAGGCUGCAGUGGGGAAUAUUGCGCAAUGGGCGAAAGCCUGACGCAGCGACGCCGCGUGAGGGAUGAAGGUCUUCGGAUCGUAAACCUCUGUCAGCAGGGAAGAACGGUCACUGUGCUAAUCAGCAGUGAAUUGACGGUACCUGCAAAGGAAGCACCGGCUAACUCCGUGCCAGCAGCCGCGGUAAUACGGAGGGGGCGAGCGUUAAUCGGAAUUACUGGGCGUAAAGCGCUCGUAGGCGGUAUGUCAAGUCAAGGGUGAAAGCCCCGGGCUCAACGUAGGAACUGCGUUUGAAACUGGCAAACUGGAGUGUGUGAGAGGAUAGUGGAAUUCCAGGUGUAGGAGUGAAAUCCGUAGAUAUCAGGAGGAACAUCAGUGGCGAAGGCGACUAUCUGGCACAUAACUGACGCUGAGGAGCGAAAGCGUGGGUAGCAAACAGGAUUAGAUACCCCUGUAGUC